AGUGAACGCUGGCGGUAGGCCUAACACAUGCAAGUCGAACGGCAGCACAGUAAGAGCUUGCUCUUACGGGUGGCGAGUGGCGGACGGGUGAGGAAUACAUCGGAAUCUACUUUUUCGUGGGGGAUAACGUAGGGAAACUUAUGCUAAUACCGCAUACGGCCUACGGGUGAAAGCAGGGGAUCUUCGGACCUUGCGCGAUUGAAUGAGCCGAUGUCGGAUUAGCUAGUUGGCGGGGUAAAGGCCCACCAAGGCGACGAUCCGUAGCUGGUCUGAGAGGAUGAUCAGCCACACUGGAACUGAGACACGGUCCAGACUCCUACGGGAGGCAGCAGUGGGGAAUAUUGGACAAUGGGCGCAAGCCUGAUCCAGCCAUACCGCGUGGGUGAAGAAGGCCUUCGGGUUGUAAAGCCCUUUUGUUGGGAAAGAAAAGCAGCAGGUUAAUACCCCGCUGUUCUGACGGUACCCAAAGAAUAAGCACCGGCUAACUUCGUG
rnacentral:rRNA from 1 species